rnacentral:tRNA from 1 species
GGUGUAGCUCAGUGGUACAGCACUUGCCUAAAAUGCUAGAGGCUUUGGGUUUAAUCCUCAGCACC